UAUAUUAUCAUUUUUAGCGCUGUAAUUAUUUUUAAAAAAAUAAUUAUUUUCUCUUGACCUCCCAUUUAAAUUCUUUAAUUUAUCGUAAAGGACUUCUCAUGUGACGUCACACUGUACGGAACAUAGUUGUUGAACCGUUCCUUGUCGUUUAAUUCGUGUUCCGUGAGAGUUUGACGUUUUCCUCGCUGACUGUGGGAGGAAUGAGAGGCACUUGGCCGGUGGCUGCGAGGUUGACAGGUUGGUGUUGGUGGUUAGUACCGUAAAUGGCGGUUAAUUUCUUCGAAAUUAAUUUUUAUUUCAACUAAGUUUGGAAGUAUAGUAAAAAGUUACCACCACUUGUUUCCUGGAGUACGGGUUUCCUGGAGUAAGGAUGGGAGUACCAUCAGUGGAAGAGGAAUAAAAAAAUUAACCGCCAUUUGGAAGAAAACUAACCCUCAUGUGAUGUCGUACCCACCUUGACUACCUAGGGAAGCCACCUUGACCUUAUUGCAGCUACCGCCAAGUCAAACUGGGAGUAUGUUUUGGGAACAAGCUUUUUGGGGGACAUUCCAGCUCCUUUUCGUCCUGCCACCUGGGCCUACGGGGGGGCAUGGAGGUGCAUCAUAGUGAUGCUCAUUUUCUAGGAUGCAACCGCAACCUCGUUUGGGAACAUUUAGUGAGGAGUUUUAGUAACUAUUGGUUUUUUUUAUAUUUCAGACUAUCUGUUAAAUACACUAUGUUUUUUUUCCAGAUUUAGGUUACCUCUGUUUUUUUUGACAUAUGUAUUUGUAUAUUAGAUUAUUUGGUUCCCAAACUUUGUAUCUACGGUAACUUCUUGUGCACAGGAAUAAGCCUAGAGAAAAUUAGGUUUUUAAUACUUUAUUAUUGCUUUGAUAUUGGUUUAUGUAAUUCGGGUAAAUUUAUUUUGUAACAUUACUUGCUUGUUUCCCAAAUAUUGUAUUUAUUCGCUUUAUUUCGUUUGUUCGGUUACUUCGUCGUUACUUUAUUUCAUUGCAUUUGCUCGGUUAAUUUAGGUCAUUUUGUCGGUAUUUUUCUUAACUUCACUUCUAUAACGUUUAUUCAUUUGUAUAUUUAAUUUUGCUUUAUUCAGUAUUGUAUUUUCUCUUAGUGAGGCUUGGGCCUAUUUAUUUGUAUUAUUUUCAUCUUCGUCGGUUUCCUUUAGUUGUACGUAGCAGGCGUACUAUAACCAUUUGGUAGAAGACUUAUGUAAUUUUGUACCCUAUAUGUUAGUGAGAGGUACUUAUACCUGUAAUUUUCUAACAGAUAACAUUAUUGUUGUUAUCUUAGAGAUAACUUUUUGUAUAACUUAUGUCAUUUUAGAGUCACAGCAUAAUAUGAACUUGCUUAACUCAGAGAUUGUUAAAAAUCUGGUAGUUAUUUUUAAUAAAUAUGUUUAUUUAUUUUGUA